CCUACGGGAGGCAGCAGUAGGGAAUUUUCGUCAAUGGGCGCAAGCCUGAACGAGCAAUGCCGCGUGAACGAGGAAGGUCUUCGGAUCGUAAAGUUCUGUUGAAGGGGAAAAAGAGCGGAGAGAGGAAAUGGUCUCCGAUUGAUAUUACCCUUCGAGGAAGUCACGGCUAACUACGUGCCAGCAGCGGCGGUAAUACGUAGGUGGCGAGCGUUAUCCGGAUUGAUUGGGCGAAAGGGGUGCGUAGGCGGCCUGCUAAGUCUGGAGUGAAAGGUACCGGCUCAACCGGUACAGGCUCUGGAAACUGGCGGGCUAGAGAGCAGGAGAGGGAGGUGGAACUCCAUGUGUAGCGGUAAAAUGCGUAGAUAUAUGGAAGAACACCAAUGGCGAAGGCGGCCGCCUGGCCUGUUACUGACGCUGAGGCACGAAAGCGUGGGGAGCAAAUAGGAUUAGAUACCCGGGUAGUC
rnacentral:rRNA from 1 species